AAUAGGCUUAUGAGAGUAAAGUCUACUAGAUACUCUUGAGCGCAAGUUCAUUUAGAUAGACCAAUGAUGGUAAGUUCUAUGAGAUUUAUCUGUUAAGCUAAUAAGGAUAGGUUCUGUAAGAUAUGCUAAUAAGGGUUGGUUCUAUUAGAUAGGCUUAUCAGGGUAGGUUCUAUUAGAUUGGCUAAUGAGGAUUAGUUUUAUUCUAUAGGCUUAUAAGAGUAGGUUCUGUUAGAGAGGCUUAUGAGGGUAGGUUCUAUUAGAGAGGCUUAUGAGGGUAGGUUCUAUUAGAGAGGCUUAUGAGGGUAGGUUCUAUUAGGUUGGCUUAUGAGGGUAGGUUCUAUUAGGUAGGCUUAUAAGAGUAGGUUCUAUUAGAGAGGCUGAUGAGGGUAGGUUCUGUUAGAGAGGCUUAUGAGGGUAGGUUCUGUUAGAGAGGCUUAUAAGAGUAGGUUCUAUUAGAGAGGCUGAUGAGGGUAGGUUCUAUUAGGUAGGCUUAUGAGGGUAGGUUCUGUUAGAGAGGCUUAUGAGGGUAGGUUCUAUUAGGUAGGCUUAUGAGGGUAGGUUCUAUUAGGUAGGCUUAUGAGGGUAGGUUCUAUUAGGUAGGCUUAUGAGAGUAGGUUCUAUUAGAGAGGCUUAUGAGGGUAGGUUCUAUUAGGUAGGCUUAUAAGAGUAGGUUCUAUUAGAGAGGCUGAUUAGGGUAGGUUCUAUUAGGUAGGCUUAUGAGAGUAGGUUCUAUUAGAGAGGCUUAUGAGGGUAGGUUCUAUUAGGUAGGAUUAUGAGAGUAGGUUCUAUUAGAGAGGCUUAUAAGAGUAGGUUAUAUUAGAGAGGCUUAUGAGGGUAGGUUCUAUUAGAGAGGCUUAUGAGGGUAGGUUCUAUUAGAGAGGCUUAUGAGGGUAGGUUCUAUUAGAGAGGCUGAUGAGGGUAGGUUCUAUUAGGUAGGCUUAUAAGAGUAGGUUCUAUUAGAGAGGCUGAUGAGGGUAGGUUCUAUUAGGUAGGCUUAUAAGAGUAGGUUCUAUUAGAGAGGCUGAUGAGGGUAGGUUCUAUUAGGUAGGCUUAUAAGAGUAGGUUCUAUUAGAGAGGCUGAUGAGGGUAGGUUCUAUUAGGUAGGCUUAUAAGAGUAGGUUCUAUUAGAGAGGCUGAUAAGGGUAGGUUCUAUUAGGUAGGCUUAUAAGAGUAGGUUCUAUUAGAGAGGCUGAUGAGGGUAGGUUCUGUUAGAGAGGCUUAUGAGGGUAGGUUCUGUUAGAGAGGCUUAUAAGAGUAGGUUCUAUUAGAGAGGCUGAUUAGGGUAGGUUCUAUUAGGUAGGCUUAUAAGAGUAGGUUCUCUUAGAGAGGCUGAUGAGGGUAGGUUCUAUUAGGUAGGCUUAUAAGAGUAGGUUCUAUUAGAGAGGCUGAUGAGGGUAGGUUCUAUUAGGUAGGCUUAUAAGAGUAGGUUCUAUUAGAGAGGCUGAUGAGGGUAGGUUCUAUUAGGUAGGCUUAUAAGAGUAGGUUCUAUUAGGUAGGCUUAUGAGGGUAGGUUAUAUAAGGUAGGCUUAUGAGAGUAGGUUCUAUUAGGUAGGCUUAUGAGGGUAGGUUAUAUUAGGUAGGCUUAUGAGGGUCGGUUAUAUUAGGUAGGCUUAUGAGAGAAGGUUAUAUUAGGUAGGCUUAUGAGGAUUACUUGUAUUAGAUAGACUCAUGAGGGUAGGUUCUAUUAUGUAGGCUCAUGUGGGAAAGUUCUAUUAGAUAGACUUAUGAGGAAAAGUUCUAUUAGAUAGGUUUAUGAUGUAAAGAUCUAUUAUAUAGCAUUAUAAGAGAAAUUUCUUUUAGAUAGGCUUAUGAGGGAAAGUUUAAUUAUGCCCCCCUUCGAAGAAGAGGGGGUAUAUUGCUUUGCUCAUGUUGGUCAGUCGGUCGGUCGGUCCGUCCGUCCACCAGGUGGUUGUCAUACGAUAACUCAAGAACGCUUGGGCCUAGUAUCAUGAAACUUCAUAGGUACAUUGAUCAUGACUCGCAGAUGACCCCUAUUGAUUUUGAGGUCACUAGGUCAAAGGUCAAGGUCACGGUGACUCGAAAUAGUAAAAUGGUUUUUUGAAUGAUAACUCAAGAAUGCAUACGGAGCCAACAGGGAACACUCGGAACAAUAUUACUGAAGCAACUGGUCUGUAAUCCUAAAUCUAUAAUUAUCAGUCCAAUGAAACAUCAUCCUUUUAGUAAAAUACAGUGAAUCAGUAAAAAUAUUAUCAGAAUAUGAGAUUUUUUGUAUAUUUUGUAUAUUAAAUAUUGUGUUAAUGUUUAAUUUUGUUGAUUUAUAUAAAUAUAAGCAGGACAGGGGAGGUAAUACACUAUUAUAUCUACCUAUAUACAGGGGAAACAAAUGCAAUAAGUUUAAAUUUAUUGUUACAGCAUUUGCUUCCCUUGUAAUAUAUUUAAAUUUUACCAAAUGUAAGGCUAACUGCAUUUUUGUAAUGCAUACUACUACUACUACUACUACUGCUGCUGCU